rnacentral:rRNA from 1 species
GAUGAACGCUGGCGGCGUGCCUAACACAUGCAAGUCGAACGAAGCACCUUACCUGAUUCUUCGGAUGCAAGUUUGGUGACUGAGUGGCGGACGGGUGAGUAACGCGUGGGUAACCUGCCCUGUACAGGGGGAUAACAGCUGGAAACGGCUGCUAAUACCGCAUAUGCGCACGAGGAGACAUCUCCUUGUGUGAAAAGCUCCGGUGGUACAGGCUGGGCCCGCGUCUGAUUAGCUGGUUGGCAGGGUAACGGCCUACCAAGGCAACGAUCAGUAGCCGGUCUGAGAGGAUGAACGGCCACAUUGGAACUGAGACACGGUCCAAACUCCUACGGGAGGCAGCAGUGGGGAAUAUUGCACAAUGGGGGAAACCCUGAUGCAGCAACGCCGCGUGAGUGAAGAAGUAUUUCGGUAUGUAAAGCGCUAUCAGCAGGGAAGAUAAUGACGGUACCUGACGAAGAAGCUCCGGCUAAAUACGUG